UUCAAACUAAAUUACUAAAGAAUUUAAUAAUUUCAACAAUAUUUUACAAAAAAAAUAAAUAAAAAUAUUUAUCUUAAUUUUUUUAUUUUUAAUUAUUAGAAAGUCGGUUAAUUCGGUCAAUGCGGUUAUCAAUUUUAAAAAUAAAAAUUGAUCGAAUUAACCAAUUUAAGCGAUUUAAAAAAUUGAUUAUAAUUAAAACCGAAUAAACCGAGCAGAUUCAACCGAAUUCACUCGAUUUCGAUCAGUCUAGUUCAAACCGACUUUUGCUCACCUCUAUAGCCGACCACCAUUAGAGUUCAAAUUUCACCCAGAAGCUUGUUUCAAUCCCCUCUCUCAAGUGAUCUGAUUGUUUUCUUCAUAAACUUAUAGGAUUUGUAUAGAUCUGAAAUCAAAGUUACUAUUUUCUCUUUCCAAAAUCUACCUCCUCAUUGCUUCUAUGGUUGUGGCUUUGAGGUAUGGUCUUAUCCUUGUUCUUAAUUAUCUUUUCAUUGAUUUUGAGGAGUCAAAUUCUCUCUAAAAUGAGUUAAUUAAAAUAAAAAAAAAAUCUAUUUUCCAUUUUUGUUCUUCUAUUUUCGUUUAUGAUUUUUUUAGUUUCUAACUUCAAUUUAUUUCUUCUUGAAUCUAUGUUGAUGUGUUUAACUAAUGAUUGAAAACUAUUCAGUGAGAAAUUAAUGGCAGUGGUAGGGCUUGGUCCCGACAAUGGAUGGUUGUGGUGUCUACAAUGGUUAUUGGCUCCGUAUUGCCAUUCUCUGCUCAUGCUUGUAUUUUGUGAUUUCUGCCACUGUGGAACUAUCUAUAUUUUGCUUGCUGUUGAUUUAGGUUAAGAUUGCUUACUAGCAAUUUGUGUUGAGAUUGCACUUUUCUGGUUGGUAAGCUCUAUGGGAAAUGAUGGUAUUAUGGAAUGUUUGCUAGGUAGGAUGAGUUUGUAGAUAUUGACUAGGUGGAUUGGUUUAUUUGCUAGCUAUUGGUGGUGGUGACUAUGGAGAUUCAACUGAUUAAUGUUGGCAAUGGUGGUGUUGGUAAUGGAAAAAAGGUGGACUCGUGGUGGCAUAAGGAGUUGAUGAAUUUAGGAUCAAUCACUAGUUAUAGGUCUUACUUGAUUGCCUCUCUUGUAAUUUAUCUUGCUCACCUUCUGUUUUCUGCUUGAAUUUUUGCCUUCUGUGUUUUUUAUCAAAUAGGCUUUCUUUUAUGGAUUAUGAUAGUUGAUUGUUGGUAGUGAUGGUGUCUCGAGUUGGGAUUGGGUUUUGGCUGGAGCUAGCUUUAGUGGUUAUAUGUUUAUUGGAGAUGGUGGUGUUGGCAAUGGUCGAUUGUAGAAUGAAGGUUUGGUUGCCAACUAUGGUGGCAGAAAAAGCAAAAAUGGUGAUCGAGAUAUUAGCAAUUGUUGGGUUUUUCUCUUUAUUUUUCACUUUGUUUGUUUUUGUUCCCAUGCUAUAUGUGAACAACAAUUUAUGUAACACAAUGAAGAUAGGAUUUCAAUUCAAAAAUUGAGCAUCUUAUUCUCUUUUAAUCGAAAUUUUGAUUUUAAACAGCACUGAAAUUUCAAAAAUAUUAUUAUUUCAUUUUAUCUUUUUAUUUAUUUCUAGAAUAAUGAUAAAAGCAAAAAUAAAAAAAUAAAAUAAAACAAAUAGGCUUGCAUUAAGUCCAAAAUAUAAUCUGAGCCUAAUACAUAGAUGAUAAAUCCAAAUCAAAUGGAUUAGAUCCAAAACCCAAUUUAAAUUAACUCAAGAUUGGAAAUAAUCAAGACGAAAUAGGGUGUUUACAUGAACAAUCAAUUAUUACUUCAUUGAAUAAUCAACUAAUAAACUAUAAUUUAACUAAACAACCAAACCUACAUAUAGUGAGACUUGAAUCUAGGACCUCAAGAUCUUAAAGUUUUUUUUGUACCAAUAAACCAAUGCCUUAUUGGCAAAAGUGGGAAAUAGUUAAAACCUACUUAUUAGAAUAAGUAAUCUUAUUCUUUUGGCCAACUAUUAAGUAAUCUUAUUUAAUGAAAAUACCUUUCCAUUAAAAAAAUACUAUGUAAUCUUUCGCUUUUAAUUUUUAUUAUUUUUUUAAGUGGAACUUAUAUUACGUUUUAAUCCAAAUGAAAGCAUACACUAUAUGUAAUGAAAUUAUCAAUAAAAUAUUUACUUAAUAUUUAAUUUUUAAUAAGAAGAAAUCAAUUUACAUUAGUCUAAAAUUAAAAUGUUUUAUAUCUUUUUUUUUAACAAUAUCUUUCAAUAAAUCUAAGGGGUGAGAUUAAAUUAUUUUGACUUGUCUCUUUUAUCUUUUAGAUUUAUUGAAAUCAAUAAUUUAAGAAAAUAUAAAAU
rnacentral:lncRNA from 1 species